CACACGCAGGCGCGGCGGAAGCUUCUUGCUGUUUUCAAAGAAGAGUUCGCUCCGGUGCCCGGGCAGACCGGGCCGAAAGCCUGCGGAGGUUUAACCGGAAAAAAGGAUAUAU
rnacentral:sRNA from 1 species